GACGAACGCUGGCGGCGUGCUUAACACAUGCAAGUCGAACGGAAAGGCCCUGCUUGCUGGGUACUCGAGUGGCGAACGGGUGAGUAACACGUGGGUGCUCUGCCCUGCACUUCGGGAUAAGCCUGGGAAACUGGGUCUAAUACCGGAUAGGAGCCAUUUUUAGUGUGAUGGUUGGAAAGUUUUUUCGGUGUAGGAUGAGCUGGCGGCCUAUCAGCUUGUUGGUGGGGUAAUGGCCUACCAAGGCGGCGACGGGUAGCCGGCCUGAGAGGGUGGACGGCCACAUUGGGACUGAGAUACGGCCCAGACUCCUACGGGAGGCAGCAGUGGGGAAGAUUGCACAAUGGGCGCAAGCCUGAUGCAGCGACGCCGCGUGGGGGAUGACGGCCUUCGGGUUGUAAACUCCUUUCGCUAGGGACGAAGCUUUUUGUGACGGUACCUAGAUAAGAAGCACCGGCUAACUACGUG
rnacentral:rRNA from 1 species